rnacentral:rRNA from 1 species
UACAGAGGGUGCGAGCGUUUAAUCGGAAUUACUGGGCGUAAAGCGUGCGCAGGCGGUUUUGUAAGUCUGUCGUGAAAUCCCCGGGCUCAACCUGGGGAAUUGCGAUGGAGACUGCAAGGCUAGAAUCUGGCAGAGGGGGGGGUAGAAUUCCACGUGUAGCAGUGAAAUUCGUAGAUAUCGGGAGGAACACCAGUGGCGAAGGCGGAGACCUGGGCCGAUACUGACGCUGAGGUGCGAAAGCGUGGGGAGCAAACAGG